GAAGAGGUGCUUGCUUCCCGUUCCCUUCUGCCAUGCUUGUAAGUUUCCUGAGACCUCCCCAGCCAUGCCUCCUGGACAGCCUGUGGAACUGCAAUUCUCUUUGAUUUGCAAGUACUCAUUUUACAUCAGGAAAUCCACCUCCCACCCCAAAUCAUCUAAAAUGACACAUACAACUGGAUCGAGUAACUGGUAACUGUGCCUAAAUAUCACCCAGCAGAAAAAUGAAAAAUAAUAAAAGAAAAUAUGGGUAAGAUCACUUAGGAUAUCUACAAUGCACAAAGACAAAAAGCAAAAACCUGGGACAACUGACAUUUAAAAAGAGGUCAUAGAAGAAUGAAGAAAUAAGGACAUAACAAUGAGUGCACAAGAUGACAGUAUCAGAAAGCAAGAAAGCAGCAGCCUGGACGCAGAGUCAAAUGCCUCAGAGAGAUGGAAUAGGAUGAGGAUUAAAGACACUACUAGUAAUCAGAUGAUUACUAACCAUGACAAGAGAUUCAGGAAAACAAGUGGGGUAAAAGCCUGACUCGACUGAGUUGAAAAGAGAAUUGAGGAAAUAACGGUAAAGAAUCUGAUUUUGAAGGGAAGAUCAGGAAAAACAAAGCCAUAGCUGAAAAGUUCAGGUUAAUUAUUAGCCUGCCUUUAUCUGUGUCCAUCAUAGAGUGCAGAACUCACUACUAUGAUGCCAAGGGAGUCACAUUUAUUCUCCCUGUCCUGUUUUAUUCUAAUAUGGGAAUAAAGGUGUUAUGGGUUGAAUUGAUCACCUACUGCUACAGAUGAUGGAUUCUAAGAGGAAAAAAACCUAGACGGGACAUAUUAGUCAGUCACAGUAUAUACCACCAACUUUUCUCUUCCUGGAACAACAAUAUAAGAAAAACAUAAGGGUCCUCAAAACUUGCAGAAGCUCUAUUAGUCUAAAAGAAUGCUUAUCUUGUUCUAAAUGCAAACAUAGUCAUCAGAAUUCUCAUCAGCUCCCAAGAAAGGAAAAAAGAAAGAAAG